rnacentral:rRNA from 1 species
ACGCUGGCGGCAGGCCUAACACAUGCAAGUCGAGCGGUAGAGAGAAGCUUGCUUCUCUUGAGAGCGGCGGACGGGUGAGUAAUGCCUAGGAAUCUGCCUGGUAGUGGGGGAUAACGUUCGGAAACGGACGCUAAUACCGCAUACGUCCUACGGGAGAAAGCAGGGGACCUUCGGGCCUUGCGCUAUCAGAUGAGCCUAGGUCGGAUUAGCUAGUUGGUGAGGUAAUGGCUCACCAAGGCGACGAUCCGUAACUGGUCUGAGAGGAUGAUCAGUCACACUGGAACUGAGACACGGUCCAGACUCCUACGGGAGGCAGCAGUGGGGAAUAUUGGACAAUGGGCGAAAGCCUGAUCCAGCCAUGCCGCGUGUGUGAAGAAGGUCUUCGGAUUGUAAAGCACUUUAAGUUGGGAGGAAGGGCAGUUACCUAAUACGUGAUUGUUUUGACGUUACCGACAGAAUAAGCACCGGCUAACUCUGUGCCAGCAGCCGCGGUAAUACAGAGGGUGCAAGCGUUAAUCGGAAUUACUGGGCGUAAAGCGCGCGUAGGUGGUUAGUUAAGUUGGAUGUGAAAUCCCCGGGCUCAACCUGGGAACUGCAUUCAAAACUGACUGACUAGAGUAUGGUAGAGGGUGGUGGAGUUUCCUGUGUAGCGGUGAAAUGCGUAGAUAUAGGAAGGAACACCAGUGGCGAAGGCGACCACCUGGACUGAUACUGACACUGAGGUGCGAAAACGUGGGGAGCAAAC